UCAAACUUGGUCAUUUAGAGGAAGUAAAAGUCGUAACAAGGUUUCCGUAGGUGAACCUGCGGAAGGAUCAUUAUUGGAUUUAUUAGAGACGAGCUGUGCUGGCCUUUCGGGGCAUGUGCACGCUCUGAUCGACCAACAUAUACACCUGUGAACUUGUGUAGGAGCUUGUUUUGCGGUCGGAUGUGGAUGGCUUGACGCUGGAUAACGGCCGACGGUCUUUUUGGCUGCAUGGAGGUUCCUACGUUUUAUACACUCUCAUACGCAUGUCUACAGAAUGUCUUUUGAUCUUGGUUGCCUUAAACAAGCAGCUCAAGUUAUAUACAACUUUCAACAACGGAUCUCUUGGCUCUCGCAUCGAUGAAGAACGCAGC
rnacentral:misc_RNA from 1 species